AGAAAAGUCCUAAAUUAAGUAGGUGAUCAAUCUAAUUGAUUUAGAAAAAUUCCUUGAACGAUAAAACAAGCAACUCAAGAAUGCCAAAUCCAAAUUUAAACAAAAUAAAUCUUCAAAUACCUUGUGCUAGGUUUCAUAAGUGUCUAACUAAGCUUGAAUAUUUUAACCACUCAUAGCAAUUGAAACAAAACAAGAAUCAAUUGUAAACAGCAUAAAUUACAAGCUGAAUCUUGGAGAAGAAAAUUCCUCAAAUCGUCGAGCUUCCCUUCUUUCGAUUAGCUGAAAUUUUGGGUUGCUACUUCAACUGCUUGGUCGGCUUUUUCUGGUUCAAUUUGAGGUUUUCCUUUGCUCGAGUGCCACGCCCCUCUGCUGCUGUAUAUUUUUUCUCUCCUAUUUUUAGCUGGUGGUCAUCUCUAUUUAUGGAAUAAUAACCUCCAACAAUUCAAAAUUAAAUUUGAUCUUAUCCCCCUUUUCCUAGCUGAACC
rnacentral:lncRNA from 1 species